rnacentral:rRNA from 1 species
GUGGGGAAUAUUGGACAAUGGGCGAAAGCCUGAUCCAGCCAUGCCGCGUGUGUGAAGAAGGUCUUCGGAUUGUAAAGCACUUUAAGUUGGGAGGAAGGGCAGUAAGUUAAUACCUUGCUGUUUUGACGUUACCGACAGAAUAAGCACCGGCUAACUUCGUGCCAGCAGCCGCGGUAAUCCGAAGGGUGCAAGCGUUAAUCGGAAUUACUGGGCGUAAAGCGCGCGUAGGUGGUUUUGUAAGUUGGAGGUGAAAUCCCCGGGCUCAACCUGGGAACUGCCUCCAAAACUGCAUGACUAGAGUACGGUAGAGGGUAGUGGAAUUUCCUGUGUAGCGGUGAAAUGCGUAGAUAUAGGAAGGAACACCAGAGGCGAAGGCGACUACCUGGACUGAUACUGACACUGAGGUGCGAAAGCGUGGGGAGCAAAUGGGAUUAGAAACCCGGGUAGUCC